AGAAGGAAGAUAUUGCGCUCAUGGAUGAGCCGAUGGUAACAUACAAUGUCUCUGACUGUAGUUAUCUAAACGAGGACAAUGUUAAAGAUACUUUGAUAGCUCGGGAGUACAAGUCGAGCCGCAAGCUUCACAACAGCGGGCCUGCUAGCUGCUGUUCACCGGAGACGUGAGAAGACGUGACCUAGUUAAAGAGAUGACUGAUGAUGAGAAACAUUUGGUCCAUCUUGUGGAGCUCCAUACGACUCUAUGAGAGGAUGCAGUGUGAGAAGCAGCAACACCAGCAGACUGCCUACUUCCUUGAUGCAUGUGACAGUUUAAUUAUGAAAUAAUAAUAAAUAAAUAUGAAAUAAUAUAAAAUAUAUUCUGUAUUAUUAUUAUAUUAAAAGGGUCAUUGUCUGUAUAUAUAUUUUUAAUUAUAUGGAUAUGCACUUGUAAGUAAGUGUAAGUACAUGUGUGCACGUGGCUCGAUAUUUAAUAUUUUAUAAAUAUUCUUGAUAUUGAUAUUUUUUAAUUACUAUUAUAUUUAAAUACCCAUCAUAUUCUGUAUUACGUCAUAUGUACAGUAUAUUUGUUCAUAUUUUAUCAUUAUUGUAUUCCAUAUGUUUUGGAUACUUGUCUACAUGGGCUUCUAGGCCUGUACUGUGUUGUGUAUUGCUUUGAUUUUUGAAUUUAUUGGUGUGUUAUGUUGUUUAAGAGAGGGUUUUUUUGCUUUGAUUUUUGAAUUUAGUAGUGUGUUAUGUUGUUUAAUAGAGGGGUUUUGCUGUGAUUUUUAAUUCAGUUAUUUCUUAUUUUUUAAAUAUGUUAUCUUUGAUUUUUAAUUGUGUUCAGUUCAAUAAAGAUGAUGUUAAAGUCA